rnacentral:rRNA from 1 species
CUAACGCGUGAAGGCGAGCACUCUAGACGAACUGCCGUUGACAAAACGGAGGAAGGUGGGGGAUGACGUCAAAUCAUCAUGCCCCUUAUGUUCUGGGCUACACACGUGCUACAAUGGCCGGUACAGACGGACGCAAAGCCGCGAGGUGGAGCAAAUCCUAAAAAGCCGGUCUCAGUUCGGAUUGCAGGCUGCAAUUCGCCUGCAUGAAGUCGGAAUCGCUAGUAAUCGCAGGUCAGCAUACUGCGGUGAAUACGUUCCCGGGCCUU